GGAGCUAUAGCUCAGUUAGUAGAGUACUUGCCUAAAAUGCAGAAGACCCUGGAUUUGAUCCCCAGUGUCCCA
rnacentral:tRNA from 1 species